GGGCGUAUGGUCAAGUGGUUACGACGUCUCAUUUGCAAUGUGAAGGGUCCCGGGUUCGAACCCCGGUGCGUCCA
rnacentral:tRNA from 1 species